AUCUGCCAUUUUUCAUAACAACAAGCAUAAAAGUUCUGACUAAAAUAAAAUUACUUGGUCAACUAUAUAAAAAUAAUUCCCCUGCUCCAACAUUAGAAGGUAAUAAAAGAUAUGAAUGAGAAAUUGAGUUCGACUCGAUAUUGUAUGAUAUGCCCUUUUCCCACAGAAAAGUGAAGCCUUACAAAAAAAAUGACAAACAAGAAUUAAAAGCUUUGAUCCUAUGUGUGAUUUUGAGAUUGAACUGAAAUACACCAUAGCGCAACACGUACUAGAAUGUCACAAAUAAAGACCAUAGUACUUUGGACCAACAAAUCUAGAACGUCGCACUUACUCUUUAACUCCUUAAAUGUCAAAACUUACCUGACAAAUCUUUAUUUCAUGAAAAUAAAGAUAUCAAUAUAGAAACUCGGCUGAACAGACUGUCAACAACAAAAUGAGCCACAAACUAAAUCUUAGAUUGCCACAAUAGCAUCAUUCAAAAUUAUAAUCAUUUAAACAAAAAGAGCUCUCGUUUCUUGAUAAUUCCAAAUGUUCAUUAAUAUAACAACCUAGGAUUCAAAAUCAGCAAAACAUUAGGAUAUCGAAUCUAAUUAUCAUUCAACUCCAAUGACAUCUACAACAUCAACGUAGAUGGUUACGGUUUAAAAAUAAUUUCGUCAGAUUCUUCAAAGUACAAGAACUACGCUAGAAUGGUGUCACUGUGUAACACUGACUGAACCAAAAGUAAUUGUAUUAGAUCAAUUUAGAUGUAACUAUGAACAAUCAAUCUUUAUCUCUGCUGAAUGGACACCAUAUAUCUUUACUAAACCUGAACAAAUACCAAAAUGUUUUAACUCUUAAUGUAAUGCUAUUUUGUGUUAGCUACAUCAUUCUAUUUCAUCAGGCAAAUCCUAACCGUAAAAAAUAUGAAAGCAUGGAAGCAUUAAGCACUACUAGAGUUAUAUAUCCAAUCAAAGGGAGAUGGAUCAUAAUUUAGAGUAUCAAAUUUAUUUUCUAUGGUCACAUAACAAAUUAUCAAGUAGAACCAAACCACAUACUAUUGUUAUGCAAGUAUUAGAAAGAAAGGUAAGCGGAUAACAAAAUCGGGCGUAGCAGUAUCAACAUCAACCCAAGAACUGCUUGUUCUGCAAGUCCUCAAGGUUCAAGGUUGAAGUCAAACAUGGAUCAUCAAUAUUCCCAAACAACAAGUACUACCAAAUUUAUAUACAUAACAUGCAGAGUAAAUAUCAGUUUUCCUAGCAGAAACUUCAGAUUCAAUAACAAUCAUGACAAGGGAAUAACAUCAAAAUUAUUCAAUUUCAACCUUCAAUUCAAUCAUCAAACAAACACCAAAAUUAGAAUCCAAUCACCAUGGCAUGCAAAUUCAUAUAUAGCACCCAACCCAAGAUCAACAUCAAAUCAAUUCAAAACAAACCCUAAACCUAACCCCAACAAACCCAAACCCUUAACAAAAAUUCCACCACCAAAAAGUUCAUGAAUUUUAUGAGGAACAAAAAAACCAUAAGAAAAUUAAGAUCGAAACAAAGCACCCCAAUUGAAGGCAAGAUCAAACCCAAAUAGAAACAAAAAAGAUAAACAGAAAUAAUCAAUAAAAAUCAAAUCUUUAACAUAACUAGAGGUGGGAAUUUACAAAAAAAAAGAUCCAAUUUUUUUCUUCUUCUGGGGUUGGUCUAUGCAAGAGAUUGCUUGUGAAAUAUUAUGAGAUGCACAAAAGAAUCAAGAGAUGGAAGAAAAAUAUAUAUAAGUUGUAAAAAAGAUAACUUUAUAGUUAAAUAGUAGUUUUUAGGAUAUGUGAGAAGAAGCAUGAAAAUUCAGCGUUGCACCUAUCUACAUGGAUCAUAAUUCAUGGGUCCAAAAUCCAAAUACAUUUCUAUACGAGUAUGAUACGUGCAACUACGUAUUAGGUAAUUCUUGUUUUUUUUUUCCUUUUAUUUUUUAUUAGGAUUUUGAUAAAUAUGUUGUCAAUUGGGUAAUUCUUAAUUUUUUUGUUACAUAUAAUGCAACUUAUUAAAAAAAAUAUUUGUUUGUUUUUUUUUGGAAUUUUAGUAUCAACAUUUAUAAGUAUGACUAACACGAAAUAUGAAUAUUGUUAAGAGUGUAAUAUUUAUGUAUUGUCAUUGUAAAAUUUAUACGUAGAACUUUAUAUCAUCCACUAUUCAAUUGUAUUACUAUUUUAGAAGAUUCAAUAAUAAUUAAAUAUGAAGGAUGAAUGAUAUAUAGCUGGUGCACAAUUUUUUUUCUUUUAUAAAGGUAUAGGCCUAUAGGGAGUUAGUAAUGACAAAACUCAUCAUCAACUUUACACUUGAGUUUUCCUCACAAUAUUAGAGAAAAAAUAUAAAAGUAUGAGUCUUACGACUUCUUUCUUUCUUUAAAUUGAAUGUAAAUUCAAUAACUGAAAAUAUUAUUUUUCUUCCUUUUUCUUUCCCCUUGUUAUCAUCCUUUACUUUUCAACCCAAUCUAACAUAACCUAAAAACUUUGGUGUUUGAUUUAAAUAUUUUAUGAUGGUUAUAUCUAUUAGUACUACUAUAGUAUCCGAUUAUUUAGAUGUCUUGUGAUUAUAAUUCUCAUAAUUUUGAAGUAUUUAUGAUCAUUUUAUAUUACUUCUAAUUUUUAAUUAACAGUACAAGAAUUAUUUAUAUUAUUAUCUUAUCAAUUAUUAUUAUCUUUUAAAAAAUGUAAUUUAAAUGAAUUAUGAAUAACUAGCGUGUUGAUCGACAUUCUGUGUCGAUUGACUUACAUCCUUAUUUUCUUGAUAUAAGUCUAUAAUAUAAAAAAAUGUAAAUUUAAGAAUAUAAGAUGUAAUAAUUGAUAUGAUACGGACGAGAAGUCGGGUGAACUCUCCUAGCAUGCCUACGCAAUUCCAAAUAGUUACCUACAAAUGAGCACGAAUCCACAGAACAACUUCUCUUCUUCAUAUUCAGAUGAUUCCUAGCCUCUUCAUUCACCUCCCAGCCUUGAACUGUGCCUCUACAUAGAGGACAUUUCAAGCUCAGUUUCGACUCAGAAGAACUAUUUGCAUCUAAAACCUCGAGCACAGCCCUGUCCUGCAAGGUCUCAGAAUCAGCGGUUUCUAAAAUCCCUUCAUCAUGUGGAUCUAAAUGUCUACUCGGAACUUGGGCAUCACCCUCUGUUGAUCCUUGUGGAAUUCCAACAGAUAAUACAGUAUCAAUUUCAUUUUCGUAGAGUUCAUUAACAUCAUUCAUGUCAGAUUCUAUAUUAACGCUAAUAUCAAAAGUAUUACCGGAGUUGUUUGUGUUAACUAAAUUUGGACUGUCCUUAGAAUUGUCCCUUAAUUUUUUAAACCGGUCCAAGCAAUUUGAAUGCCUAUAACUUGUAUCGCAAAUGUAAGAUCUGCAGCCCUUCUCAUGAGAGCUGCAAUGGAGUAGAACAGCAUUAUGCGGAUGGUCCAUGCAGAUAGGACAUGAAACUUCAUCCAAUUCUUUGUGAAAAGCAUGGAUAUCUGAAUCACUACAUAAUCUUCGCUUAACACCAGCCAUCUUCCACGCACAGUGUUAACUACUCAAAUAUCGAACUCGUUAGAAAAUUAUGCAAGUAAUCAUACCGAAAAAUCUGCCAUUUUUCAUAACAACAAGCAUAAAAGUUCUGACUAAAAUAAAAUUACUUGGUCAACUAUAUAAAAAUAAUUCCCCUGCUCCAACAUUAGAAGGUAAUAAAAGAUAUGAAUGAGAAAUUGAGUUCGACUCGAUAUUGUAUGAUAUGCCCUUUUCCCACAGAAAAGUGAAGCCUUACAAAAAAAAUGACAAACAAGAAUUAAAAGCUUU
rnacentral:lncRNA from 1 species